UACGAAGGGGGCUAGCGUUGCUCGGAAUUACUGGGCGUAAAGGGAGCGUAGGCGGACAUUUAAGUCAGGGGUGAAAUCCCGGGGCUCAACCUCGGAAUUGCCUUUGAUACUGGGUGUCUUGAGUAUGAGAGAGGUAUGUGGAACUCCGAGUGUAGAGGUGAAAUUCGUAAAUAUCCGGAAGAACACCAGUGGCGAAGGCGACAUACUGGCUCAUUACUGACGCUGAGGCUCGAAAGCGUGGGGAGCAAACAGG
rnacentral:rRNA from 1 species